GACAGAGGGGGCAAGCGUUGCUCGGAUUCAUUGGGCGUAAAGGGUGCGUAGGCGGCGCGGUAAGUCGGGUGUGAAAUCUCGGAGCUUAACUCCGAAACUGCAUUCGAUACUGCCGUGCUUGAGGACUGGAGAGGAGACUGGAAUUUACGGUGUAGCGGUGAAAUGCGUAGAUAUCGUAAGGAAGACCAGUGGCGAAGGCGGGUCUCUGGACAGUUCCUGACGCUGAGGCACGAAGGUCAGGGGAGCAAACGGG
rnacentral:rRNA from 1 species